rnacentral:pre_miRNA from 1 species
UUUGAUACUCAAAGAGAAAUUGUCCUUGUAUGAUUCAUCAUAAAUAAAGCGAACACAUCAAGGAUAAUUUCUCCUCAGGUAUGAAA